GGGUGGCCUGAUGAGGCAACGAGCAGCAGCUGAGUCCCAUUAACUCUCCAUAUCUGUCCCCGUCCUUCAGCACAGUUACAACCUAUUCCCACUGCUUCGCCAUAUGGUGGCUUCAUCUUUUGCUGUAUGGGCUUUAUUUCAUGAAAAUAAUCUUUUGCUGCCGUCCUCCUCUUUUCAUUUCUUUUCAGGUGCAGGAGAGGCUCAGCAGGAGACGUUUCGAAAACUUCUCCAAUUGUGACAAGACUCGCCUGCCCCUGCGGGAUGAGCAAUCCUUUUGUUUCCCAUUUUAUUGUUCUGAUUUUGUUUCAGAAUUGCUCUAUCAUCCAUUUUCCUCAGCUCGCUGGUAAAUGAAUGAACCUCUCUUGCUAUGUCCUUUGGUUGGGAGAAAUGAAAGAGGAAAGAAAGAGCAAGAGUUCAGGAAAAAGAAAGAAAAACCUCCCUCUGGUGUUUUGGGCUUGUUGCUGUGCGCCUCUUUUCCUGGGGGCAUCAUAGUAGUUUUACUAGGUUUGGCUUAGGUUGCUGAGUUGAGUUGGAAUGGAAUAAGAUUAAACUGGAAAAGAAGAGUAUGGGGAAAGGGCAGCUGAGUGACUUUUUUUUUUUUUUUUUUUAGCUUCUGUGCACAUGAGUUUAAGAAGACUGAUGCUUAGUUUCAAGUUCAUACUAAUUCUAUUCCCUGUACUUUAUGCUCCCUCACAGUGUAGACACUGUUAUUGUAGAGACUGAUUUUGCACACUUUAACAAAAUAUCAGUGCUUCUCAGCAUUUUUACUGUCAAACUAUGUUGAAUGUGACUCAAACGCCAACUUUGCAAAGCAACUGAGAAUUAAACAUCAAAAUACUGUCUACAAAACUUCAGUUACUUUUUUGUUUUUGUUUUUGCACGACUUCUUUUUGAGGUGUUUCACCACCACCCACAGUGUUUUAUGUCUUCUUCAGUUGGAGCUCUUCCAUUCGCUUUGUGUGGGAGAAUAUUCUGUAUCGACUGCACUCAAAUCUACUGUAUUUAGUAGGCAUGAUGUCUCUUUUGAAUAUUCUUUAUUUUGUUAUUUCUGUGGUAGGGAUUCAGUGUCAUUAUGCAGUAUGGAUUUUUGGGGCACAACCUUAUGCAUCAUUGCCUGUGUUAUACUUUAUUGCACACCUGGAGUCUGAGUCAUUUAUUCAAUCUUCCUACACAGUUAAAGCAAUAUGUAUCAGAUGUUAUCAUUACGAACUUCAUCGUUUUAAAGAUAUUUAGUGUGUGAAAGUCUCAGAUCACUCCUAAUGUCUUUAUAUUUUGCUUCCAAGGAGCCAGGUGUUCCUUUUUUUUCUUAAUGGUCUUGAGCAGUGGAUCUCCAGUCUUUCUUAGGAUCUUCAAAGCUCAUCAGAAUUGUACAUACUGCAUUCUUGCCUUAUAUUACUUUAUUUCCAUUCACGUUUGCAC
ensembl:lncRNA